UCCUGUGGCCUCUGUUUACAACUUCUAUCUGCCCCGUCUGAUCUCGGAAGCUAAGCAGGGUCGGGCCUGGUUAGUACUUGGAUGGGAGACCACCUAGGAAGACCAGGUGCUGUAGGCG
ensembl:rRNA 5S_rRNA 5S ribosomal RNA